GCCAGGCAUGGUGAUGCAUGCCUGUAAUCCUAGUGACCCAGGAGGCUGAGGCAGGAGGAUUGCAAGUUCAAGGUCAAUUUAGCAAAUUAGCAAGACCCUGUCUCAA
rnacentral:sRNA from 1 species